CACCAUCCUCAUUCCUACUGACACAACCGACUGAAUUACUCAUCUUUUACUCCUGUUUCAGUCACCACAUAAAAUAUGAUAAUUCUUAGAUUGUUGAACUUGUUCAUUUUUGCAUCAGUUUAUCAUGAGUGUCGUGGAGAAGAGAGUGUUGAUCAGCCAGAUAAACACAUCGCCCAAUUUGAAGGAAGAUCAGUAACAAUACAAUGCAAAUUUAAAACGGCUUCAUCCCAACCAGACCUUUUCUGGUACAUCCAGAGAGCAAAUGACUUUCCUAAAUAUAUCCUGAGGAGAAACAAAUAUGGAGCAGAAGAUAAUGAUCUUCAGUUUCAGGAGAGAUUUCACUCUAAAGUGUCGUCAGAAUCAGUUCCACUAACAAUCAAGGACCUGUGUGUGUCUGACUCUGCUGUGUAUUACUGUGCUCUGAGGCCCACAGUCACAGGAAACACAAGAACACUGUACAAAAACCUGACAGAGCUGAAGGUGUACAAAUAAUU